CUUCGGUUAUAAGAUCCCUCAAAGAUGAUGAGGUUAAUAGGUUCGAGGUGGAAGCAUGGUGACAUGUGGAGCUGACGAAUACUAAUCGAUCGAAGACUUAAUCAAAUU
rnacentral:rRNA from 1 species